CCUACGGGUGGCAGCAGUGAGGAAUAUUGGUCAAUGGACGAGAGUCUGAACCAGCCAAGUAGCGUGAAGGAUGACUGCCCUAUGGGUUGUAAACUUCUUUUAUAUGGGAAUAAAACGUUCCACGUGUGGGAUUUUGUAUGUACCAUAUGAAUAAGGAUCGGCUAACUCCGUGCCAGCAGCCGCGGUAAUACGGAGGUUCCGAGCGUUAUCCGGAUUUAUUGGGUUUAAAGGGAGCGUAGGUGGAUUGUUAAGUCAGUUGUGAAAGUUUGCGGCUCAACCGUAAAAUUGCAGUUGAAACUGGCAGUCUUGAGUACAGUAGAGGUGGGCGGAAUUCGUGGUGUAGCGGUGAAAUGCUUAGAUAUCACGAAGAACUCCGAUUGCGAAGGCAGUUCACUGGACUGCAACUGACACUGAGGCUCGAAAGUGUGGGUAUCAAACAGGAUUAGAUACCCCUGUAGUC
rnacentral:rRNA from 1 species